GACUCUGUGGCACAAUGGUGGCGCGUCUGAUUCCACAUCAGAAGGCUGCGUGUUCAAAUCACGUCAGGGUCG
rnacentral:tRNA from 2 species